CAGUCUGUGCCCCGGAGAGGCUAACUAAGCACAAGGUUGGAGGGGGGAGCCCCCCCGCCCUGUCUUUCUUCUCCCCGCCCCCCUUCCUCUCUUUCUACCCUAAGCCUUUUAACCCUCCUCUUCCCUCUUUGGUGUUGGGUGCUGCCGGCAGGGCCACCGGCAUGUUGAGAGGCAGCUGCUCUCCGCCCCCUCUCCCCACUGCCCUCUCCUCAACCAGGCUUGCCGGCUUCGGGUCCCCACCCCCAAGGUCGCGGCUCCGCCGUUUUCCACAAAAUGAACCCAGCGCCCCGCCAGCCCCAAUGGGAGCCUGGAAGAACUCAAGGCACCCCCGUGGCACCUCCCGGCGGCGGCGGCGGCACCCCUGGAGGAAGUGGCCCCAGUUUUUCAGAUUAUGAGCCUUUGGGCAGGAACCAUCUUGUUUAUACAGACCAUGUGUAAACUGCUAUGGAAGACUUCAUCUGAGGAAGAGCACAAUAAAAAUGUUUCCAGCAACAGCAGUUGGUUGAAUAGCUCAAUGAACUGGACACCAGCCUGCAGAGCCACAGGUUGGAAGUUCAUUUCCCCACUGUGUUGUCCCAGGAGGAGAUGCAUCCUAUGUAGUCUUCGGCAAGAUGCACAGUCCUGUCUCAGCUCCUGAAGAAGGGAACGGGAAACCCUGUUUGAGUACUCUAUAUCUACAAAAAUCUGGAUAGGAUCCCCAUAUGUUGGAAUUGACUUGACCAUAUGUAACAACAACAGGGCCUAGCAUCUUGUAAUGGUACAGACUUGAUUUGGAACAUCUGCAAAGUCACUGUACAUUUGAUAGAUCCAUAUGUUUCUCUCAUUGCAAGCUAGAACUUGUUCUUUCCAUUACUUUUCAUUUUAUACUGGAAAAACUCUGGACUCGAAAAACUCUGGUACGUCAGGAUAUAUAUAUUUUCUGGAGAAAAGCAAAAUGUAAAUCAGCACUUGGUUAAUAUGACUUGUUUUGCAGUUUUCCUGCUACAGGAGAAGUUUCAUUUAAAAAAAAAACUUGUGCCUUG